GCUCAUUCCUCUGGCUGAAAGCUCAGGCCAUGUGUUGAAAACGUCUCCAGGGAGAUGCCAUUCAAACUAUGCUGUUCUGCUCCCCACCCACACUAUCCUCAACUCUUAUCAAGAAGAACUAUGAAGAGCCUAGGACUUAAGCAAAACAUCUGUAGUCCUAGAUCAGUGAGGAGGAAGGUGAGAGCUGCAUUCUUGCCCUGUGGAGGUGAGGUCCAUUGGAGGAGAGAUCUGCUGCUCGAUUGGUUCCCACAGCCUAAAAAUAACUGGCAGUUUAAAAUCAAGGGGAUGAAUCCAUCUGCAGUGCCUAAACCAAAGUGAAACAGAGUCACAUGAGGCGGAAUGAACAAGGAGUGAACACGGAGGCCUAGUCAUAGGCAACAAUGACUCAGACCUAGAGGACCCAAUUUACCCACCCGCUAGCUCUGAGACAAAUACUCAUUCUUCUCCAUAUUCACAACUAUUUCGGCACAUAACUUCACAUUCUGAGAACUUGGUUUACCACUUCUCAAAAGUGCCAUGAGUUGUGUUGUAUAGUAUAAGAAUAUGGACCAAGAACAAAUCUUGUUUUUGAUUAGGAUACAGGUUCAUACCGUUCCCACACGUGAAGAGUGAGAACAACAUGAGUAAGAUAUUGGUACAGAGCCAAUAUUGGGCCUUCUUCAGCUCUUAAAGGGAAAAAAUAACCCUUGUGGUCAACCAAACUACAAAUAUUUGCCUGGCGCGGUUUGCUGUAGUCAUCACAAUUCUUUGGUGGCAAAUGUAGUUGCUUUUUCCUUUUAGGUUCUAGAUAACAAUUGUUUUUAAAGAGUGCACCACAAAUCAUGUCGUCACAAAGCUGAUUGGGGGAACAAGGGCCAGUGUGACAGAGGUUUGCUGUAGUCAUCACAAUUCUUUGGUGGCAAAUGAAGCCUUGUUUUUUCCAUUUGCUAUUGACGAUAAGACACACAUCUUUAUCUCAUCCUCAAAUAUGAUAGAUAACAUUUCCAUAACACAAUGAAAUAGGACAAACCUGAGUAAACCUGAGGAGCAAUUGGUUAUACAUCACAAGGCAGGCACCUGAUUGGUAGAUUUAUAAGUAGCGUCAUAAAUAACGACAUCAUACGAUAUCGUCUGAUUGGUGGAAUAAUGGCCAGUGUGAGUCCCUGGUUUACAGCCUUACCCCUAGGCGUGUGUUGUGCCAUGAGACAGGACUGAUUUAUGGAGCUGUCUUUGAUUGGGCAAGUCUCUAAGCUGGUGAAACAGGUUAUACUGUCCCACAGCAGGGACAGAACACAUCAGAGUUUUACCUGGAAGUCCGGGUGGGGCACAGGUAGGGACGAGGCCCCACAUGACACAAAAUCCACAGGACAACAAUGAAUCACCUGUCAAAAUGUCCCAGUGAUAUUCGAUCUAGAGUACUCAACCUAAGCAUGAUGAAACCAUGCAGAUUACUACAUUGUUCCAAUGGAAAAGUUCACAAAUUUGCAAAGUAGUUUCUUUAUGUCAUGUGUCACAAUUCAUCGUCCCUCAACAAUAGUGGGAGAAGCAUUCCUUGUCAUACUAUUUUCAAAUAUUGAACUCUGUGACUGAGUUAAAAUAGCUGUCAAGACCUAGUACACCCUAUUGAACCACUCGCACAUUUCAGGUCAGGAUAGUGAAUGGUGGGGAUGCGGCAGAGGCUUCAUACAGGUAAUAACACACAGACAAACACGCACGAGCACAAACAACUGACCUUUACGCUGGUAAUGUUCUCUCAGUAACAAAAAUAAAUAAAUCC
rnacentral:lncRNA from 1 species